rnacentral:tRNA from 1 species
GCGAAAGUGGCGAAAUUGGCAGACGCACCAGACUUAGGAUCUGGCGGAGAAAUCCGUGGGGGUUCAAGUCCCCCCUUUCGCACCA